AUUGAACGCUGGCGGCAGGCCUAACACAUGCAAGUCGAACGGUAACAGGAAGCAGCUUGCUGCUUCGCUGACGAGUGGCGGACGGGUGAGUAAUGUCUGGGAAACUGCCUGAUGGAGGGGGAUAACUACUGGAAACGGUAGCUAAUACCGCAUAACGUCGCAAGACCAAAGAGGGGGACCUUAGGGCCUCUUGCCAUCGGAUGUGCCCAGAUGGGAUUAGCUAGUAGGUGGGGUAACGGCUCACCUAGGCGACGAUCCCUAGCUGGUCUGAGAGGAUGACCAGCCACACUGGAACUGAGACACGGUCCAGACUCCUACGGGAGGCAGCAGUGGGGAAUAUUGCACAAUGGGCGCAAGCCUGAUGCAGCCAUGCCGCGUGUAUGAAGAAGGCCUUCGGGUUGUAAAGUACUUUCAGCGGGGAGGAAGGGAGUAAAGUUAAUACCUUUGCUCAUUGACGUUACCCGCAGAAGAAGCACCGGCUAACUCCGUGCCAGCAGCCGCGGUAAUACGGAGGGUGCAAGCGUUAAUCGGAAUUACUGGGCGUAAAGCGCACGCAGGCGGUUUGUUAAGUCAGAUGUGAAAUCCCCGGGCUCAACCUGGGAACUGCAUCUGAUACUGGCAAGCUUGAGUCUCGUAGAGGGGGGUAGAAUUCCAGGUGUAGCGGUGAAAUGCGUAGAGAUCUGGAGGAAUACCGGUGGCGAAGGCGGCCCCUGGACGAAGACUGACG
rnacentral:rRNA from 1 species